AAGAUUUUAAAGUUGGAAAAACAGUAUCUAGCUGCGAGGGAUGCUAAAACUGCAUUGAAAGUUAGUUUAGGCAUCUUUUCAAAACAAAAUUCCGAUUUACAAGAAAUUGAAUCCAAGGUAUUUUUUUUUUGUCAAUUUUUUUUUUAUUGUUUUUAUAGUAUACAUAAUCUUACAAAAUCUAUUUGUAUAAAGAUAAUAGAUGCUGAGCUAGAGGAGAUUGAACUUGCUCUAGCUGAUGUUGCUGGGAUGAAGGAAAAGCUUGCGGAAAUUAACC
rnacentral:lncRNA from 1 species